rnacentral:tRNA from 1 species
AGUCUUAUAGUCAUUCAAUGAUUUUAAAUUGCAAAUUUGAAGGUAGAAAUUAAUUCUUAAGGCUU